AGUAACGCGUGGAGAACCUGCCGUAUACUGGGGGAUAACACUUAGAAAUAGGUGCUAAUACCGCAUAAGCGCACAGCUUCGCAUGAAGCAGUGUGAAAAACUCCGGUGGUAUACGAUGGAUCCGCGUCUGAUUAGCUUGUUGGCGGGGUAAAGGCCCACCAAGGCGACGAUCAGUAGCCGGCCUGAGAGGGUGAACGGCCACAUUGGGACUGAGACACGGCCCAGACUCCUACGGGAGGCAGCAG
rnacentral:rRNA from 1 species